rnacentral:piRNA from 1 species
GUUGUAAAAGGUUCACUUGUUGGG